rnacentral:lncRNA from 1 species
GGACAAUGGGCGGAGGCGCAUGCACGAGGGGAUCCCAUGCUUUUAUUUUCUAUCGUCUUUGAACCUAAACACAGAUUCCCGGUCGGAAUAUUAUCGUUUCUUUACGAGAAAAAUGGCAUAAAAAUUUAUUUUAAACAGCGGUUGACAUGCUUCGAAGUACGGUAAUGGAAUAUUUAGAAUUUUUUUGUCACGAAAUGCGUCGUGCGCGUCAGCCUUCUUUACCAUUCGGAUAGUGUCUUGAACGCACGAACAAAACAGAGGAUAUUUGAACAUAACUAGGGAUUAUUUUGAACCAAACCAACAUUUGUUAUUGAACUAGAAGUCCUGGGAGUGCAUUCUGACGAAGACAGCAAAGGACCUGAGCCCUAGGACCAUGCCUCAGGACUACCUGGCAUGAUGACUCCUUGCUGUCCCCAGUCCACCUGGCCGUGCUGCUGCUCCAGUUUCAACUGUUCUACCUGCGGCUAUGGAACCCUGACCUGUUCACCGGACGUGCUUGUUGCACCCUCGACAACUACUAUGAUUAUUAUUAUUUGACCAUGCUGGUCAUUUAUGAACAUUUUAACAUCUUGACCAUGUUCUGUUAUAAUAUCCACCCGGCACAGCCAGAAGAGGACUGGCCACCCCUCAUAGCCUGGUUCCUCUCUAGGUUUCUUCCUUGGUUUUUCGCCUUUCUAGGGAGUUUUUCCUAGGGAGUUUUUCCUAGCCACCGUGCUUCUUUCACAUGCAUUGCUUGCUGUUUGGGGUUUUAGGCUGGGUUUCUGUACAGCCCUUUGAGAUAUCAGCUGAUGUACGAAGGGCUAUAUAAAUCAAUUUGAUUUGAUUUGAUUUGAUUGCAAAGCAAUCACUAGCCUGCUAUUCAGUGGAGUGGAUGUGUGGUCCCAAAUCUGGGAUUAGUGGGCUCUUUUCCAAGUUUAAAAUGAUAAACAUUCAACAUUGGCCAUGCUGUCAAUGAAGCAUAAUUUGUGACUUCAGUGAGUUCAAGACAACUGGGAAGUUGGGAAUAAACUUUUUUUUUUAAAGUUUUGAACGGUCAUCCAACUCGGAAUUGUAAAUCGUCCUCUUUCUAGAGCUACGACCUGAAGAUCAAUGACGUUAUCAUGAUUCAAACUUGUUUUUUUCCGAGUUCACAAUUGUUUUGAAAGCACCACAAAUCCAGAGAAUGCCAGACUUUGAUGACAAAAGUUUCCCACAAGGACCGCCAAGGACCACCUUCCUGUUCAAGUGAGCACAGAACAACAAGAGGGAAGAACUAGGUAGUUAAACCAGGAAAUGAACACACGAAAUGGAGGAAACAGGCACUGGGAUCUUCCAAAGAUGGUGGAGUGGCAGUCUUUACCAAGAAUCACCUUCAGUGCUCGAUUGUCUCCAACCUGGCUCCCAGAACGCUAAGGCAGACGCAUUAUCCCGGCUGUAUGACACAGAGGAGCGGCCCAUGGAUCCCACUCCCAUACUCCCCGCCUCUUGCCUGGUGGCGCCUGUAGUGUGGGAGCUGGACGCGGACGUUGACAAUGAAAGUUACACAGUACUCUCCUCGAAUUAUCUGAUUACAGCACUGCAUUUUUCUUUUAACAUAGGAACUACUAAAUCAAAGGGACGGUAAAUCCCACGUCGGGAAGUUGACUCAAUGUCAUAUAAAAUGCGAAUCAAUUUAUAACAUUUUUGACAUGCGUUUUUCUGGAUAUUUUUGUUGUUAUUCUGUCUCUCACUGUUCAAAUAGACCUACCAUUAAAAUUAUAGACUGAUCCUUUCUUUGUCAGUGGGCAAACGUCCAAAAUCAGCAGGGGAUCAAAUACUUUUUCCCCCCACUGAACGUUGUGUGGAAAAUGUCCAAAUCAAAGAGAAUGUUUUGGUAAUGAUGAAAUGUGAAGUUAGUUGUCUAAAAUUGGAUUUGAGUAAAAUCUAGACCUUGCCUCUUAACUUGGUACGCCCAGAGAAUUGCCCUAAAAGCGGUUACGCCCACUUCUGACCUGAGGGUAUAAGACAUGGGAGUUAAGAAUGAACAGAUCAGACUAAG